AAUAUACACAAUGGUUUUCGUGCCUGUGUUGGUCUUGUUACUUUUGGCUGCUUUCGUUGUCAUUCUAGUUGUUUGCCUCAAACGAAAGCGAGGCAAAAAUUUGCCUCCAUGUGAGAUUCUACAAUAUCAAAAUAUAACAGAUAGGAAAUAUUCACCAAGUUAUGCCGAUAUAAUUACAAUGAAAUUGCAAAUAUCAUUAUCCCUGAGAUGAAUGACAGCAGACAUAGAUAUACAUGCACCACAACUCCAUGUGAAUCACCAAACAUUUCCUCUUCUAUUCAACAGGAAGGAAGCAAUUGCAACAAUUAUGAAUCAUUAUCAAACAAUAGAAAUUCAGUUGAACGUAUUUAUCAAUCGGGAUCUAUUCCUAACAAUGAAUUCUCAUUGAGUGAACAUACAAACGAAUCAACAGAACAG
rnacentral:lncRNA from 1 species